UCCAUGUUCUUUUAGCCAGUUACCCCUCACCUCAUGAGUAAUCAAGAAAUGCAUCAUUGAGCCCUCAAAUCUUAAACUAUUUAUCAUUCUAAUCCAGUUCCAACACUGUAUUUUUCAGAGCGACAAAGAGGAACUGCAUUGAAGCAAAAAGUGUUAGGACUUUAGAUCAAUAUGAGAAAUUAACAGAAGAAAAAGAAAGAAAAAAGGUAAGUGGUUGUUCUGUUGAAUCCAUCUCU
rnacentral:lncRNA from 1 species